GGCCAUCCCUCACCCUUACUUUCAUCCUACAAAAGAUAAAACGGAUCUACAAAAAGAAAAAAACAAGGCCAUAUUUCUCUUUCAUUUUUCCACCGGAUCUAUUUCUCCUUUCAACACUUCAUAUCACCAUUGAACAACAUAAACCGAAUGUAUAGCCACCAUUGAUUCUCAUCCAACAACAAUAUUCUUGUUCUCUCAUUUACACAACUAUGACUCUGACCGAUCCGCACAUCUCACGACACCGAGGCGCACAAACCUGCUCUGCAACUGUGAAAGCCCCACUACUACCAAGUCAUGAUCUCGAUCCGUCGUCGCCUUCGAAGCUACCGGACCUGAGUGUUCUACUAUUGGAGCAUUUGGUCAGCAUGAGUCUUUUAAACCCACAAUCAAAAGAUCAAAAAGUAUUUGGUCAGAGCUCGACUAAAGGACCUAGAGGCUCUACUGUUGGAGGAGGAGCAUUCGGUCAACACGGCCCUUUCAUGCCCACCAUGAGGGGUUUGAUAAAAAAUAGUACAGCUGAAAUAAAGUGGCAAACAUGCUUAUCUUGAUUCUCCUGCUGGGGUGAGUUUUUCUUACUCCACCAACAGUUAUGACUAUUUGCUUGUUCCUUAUGAAAUGAGAGGAAGGGAUCACCUUGUUUUCCUUCAGCAUUGGUUCAACAAAUUCCCAGAUUUCAAGACCAAUGAAUUCUUCAUGGCAGGAGAGGGCUAUGCAGAUAAGAAAUACUCUUUUGGAGUAAGAUAAUGACUAUAACUCCACGGAUGAUUUAUGUGGUCAUGCUUCUAUUAGAAAGGAGUAUAUCACUAAAAAAAAAUAUAGUGAAGCUUGCGAGGAUACUAAUACAAAGAUGUCCAUUGAGGUGAAUGGUUAUACUAACACAUUCAAUGUGUAUGCUAACACUUGCCUAGCCCCUCGAGAAAAUGAAAGUUACCUACAGGGACAUGGUCUUUAAUACGUGAAAAGGUGAAAGAUUUUCGAUUCAGACAAGGGAUUAUCAAACCUGGUUUCAAGGUUGUCAGAUCGUUGGACGGACCAAAGUUUUUCAAGACAUCCUAACACAUGCUACAAUAUUAGGAGAAGGUCAUCCAGUUGGAGUUUCUUAACUGAAGAAUACGCUUCUGAUGCUGAAGACUUUUUUAGAAGGAAAACCACUGCCAGAAAGUCACCCUUUUACUUUUAAGAAUAGGCACAAAAGUUAAUAAAUUAGUGAUGUUUGAAAAAUUCUAUUAGACCGUCAUUAUUGUGCAAAAAUAAAAAUUCUCUUGCUGUUUUUUUUUAAUUUAUUGUUUGAUUAAACUAUUUAGAGAAUAAUUUGGUGUA